ensembl:lncRNA
UGCACAAAGUGCGGAGGGGGGCGGGGGGCUUCGGGGGACUUUAGACAGCAAGUUAAUCUGUAUCUCCCUGAUCUUACCGCCUGUCCGUCAAUCCAAGUGAAACAACGUAGGUGUAAUUUAGCAUGACGGCCUUCUGGGGGCAGCCGGGGUGAAGAGUUCACCGAGUGUGCGUCUGUGUGUGUGUGUGUGUGUGUGUGUGACUGAGGUACAGCAGCAGUCGGACUCAUAAUAUUUGUGGUGCAUUUAUGCAUAUUGGCAGAACUCGUCAUGACGGUAAGGACAGCGUCUGAGAGUUUGCCAAACACAGCAGCGAUUGUUCAGACUUGGGCAUCGAGAGGUCAAGUAACCGGAGGCACAAGCAUCUCCAUUCAAAGCAACAGAACUUCUUUUAUCCAGAUCCAAAACCCCGUCACAUUGGACCUACUGUCUCUUACUUACUGUGAGCUGACACUAAGAGAAUGUCUUUUGACAACGGUGAACAGGACUAAAAGCAGGAGGAUGACCUGGAGGGAGGGAGGGAGGGAUGGGGGGAUGGGAGGGGGGGGCAGAAAGGCAGAACAGAGCGAAGCCGCAGAGACUCGGGUGUGAUAAUGGAUUCCCACAUUAGGUCCUUGAAGGUCUGAUGAUGAAUGGGACGUGGCAGCGCCGCAUGGCCCCCAGAAGCAGAAGAUCUCUGUGCUUGGCGGUGGGCGCUCGGUCAGGAGGGAGGAGAGCGGGGGGGGGAGGGAGGGAGGGGUUGUUGAGUUGGGAGGAUUUGGGAGACAACCCCCCCACAGAUCACAGUGUGGAGUGGAAACACAUGGUUUCAAUGUGCAGCUCGUCGCGGCGGCGGCCACAAUUUUGCAGCUCUGGAAUUACUCAAUGGUUGAAAAUCACAAGAUUUCAACAUUUACUUCACACACCCUCCUUGUGUGUCUGUGUGUGCGUCUGUGUGUGCGUCUGUGUGUGUGUGCGUGAGCUGAAUUCCUGUAGAGUUCAUGAGCAACGAUGACUAAGAGCCCCUCGGUUUGAAAACCCUAAAUUACCUGCGAGGGGCGCGGAGACAGCAGCGACCUCGGAAGCUCUGCUGAGGACUUCAAACCAGCCGGGAGCUGCUUCAUGCAGGGAGGGGGGCAGAGUGGGGGGGGGGGGGGCGCAUUCAGACAGUAAAUUAAACCAUUUCACGAGCAAACAAUGACACAAUUUGUAAGUCAGUUUCUACCAAAGCCGACCGGUAUGAGUUAUGAGUUAUUCACACACACACACACACACACACAUGCACAGACACACACAACGUGCACAGACACACACAACGGCCACGCUAAUGUGCGGGAUGGAAUCCAGGUGGACGCAGCGGUCCUCCUUCGCUCCCAGCAGGCCGUUGGGGUUGAAAAGGUGAAAACAAGCAAAGACCUUAAGACGAGAGACGUUGACCUUUGGAUUGUGUUUGUUGGUCGACGCUCAGGCGUGAGCCCCAAGCCCCAGGGCAUGCUGGGAGUUUAACCAGGGGCAGGAGGUCACUGGGACGGGCAGCAGAGCAACAGAGGGUUAGAAUGGGGGGGCGUGAGAGGGGGGCAGCUUUUUUAUUUGCCCCAUGAUAAUUAUUUUUCCAUUUAAAACCAAUUAUGAAUCUCAGCCUUUGAUCUUCUGAUGCAGGAAAUAAGUCAAUUUACACUCAAGUUCCUUCCUAUUUUAUUUUGUAUUUAUACUCCACUAAAUCUAAGAGGUAAAUAUCGAUCUGACGAUGUUGAUGCUGAAUGUUUGUGAUGAACUGAAGGAUAAAGUGUUCCUUCUGUAAAGAGCCUCUGGAAACGUUUGUUCUUCUUAGAGAGCUCAUAGAAUCCGAUGCAUAGAUGUAGAAUAAACUAAACAAAGGAGGUCAAAUGCUACAUAUUGAUACAUAUUAAUCCAGAAAUAUUUAAACCUACGCUUUUAAAGGCAGGACAUUUACUAGCAGUAUGUGUGGUAUUCCUACUUUUACUCCACCAUCUGAAUACUUCUCCCACCGCUGCUGGUCUCCCCACAGCGGUUCUACAAUCUGGAGAAAACCUUCAGCUUCUCUCUCUUCUCUCUAGAACGGACAUCAGCUGAGCAGGUGGUGGGCGAGGACGGAGGACCGCUCCUCUUCUGGGCCGAUCCGCCUCGAGAAGGGAGCCAGAAGGCUGGCCUUUGACGCGCCGACAGCUCGCCGUGAGUGACGUGUGAUCCGUACGAAUUUCAGGACUAAUAAAUCCACCUGUCAGGGGAAGGAGACUUGAAAGGGCCGCCGCCCCGCGGCCGGGCUUAAACGCAACCGCUGUUGAUGAAAUUCUGCAGGCUUGCGGAAUUACAGCUGUCAGGAGAAAACGCCCACGUCAGAUCUGACGCCGGCUGCCUCCCUAACCUGUUCUCUGUCUCGCACUUCCUCCCCCCUCCCUCCCACCUACUUCCUCCCCUUUGUUUCUAACUGCAGAAUAUGUGUGACAUUAACUCGCCGUGGGAAUCGUCAUUUCACCGGCGGGGAAAUAUUCCUCUAAAUCCCCCUGUUAGUUCUUUCUCUCUCGCCACGAAGCACGAGGUUAAAUCACGUCGCACACAGCUGCUCUGCUUUUCCAUUUCACGGCGCCUCUAUUCCCUCCUCGCCGCUUUGAAGUUGGGGCUGGACUUUAGCCAGUGAGAGACAUAUUCACUGCCGCUGCGUGACAGCUAUAAACACAGUCUGAGGAGAGAAAGGCAUAAACCAGUCGAGCGUGUGCUCGCCGUAUUUACGGGUAAACGGGUGGAAAAGCCAUCGCUCUCUGUAAUCUGUCAUAACGGGGAUUUGCGGCGGUGCGACGCGAGGACCCCGUCCUCCCCGUCUCAUGCAGACAGACUUCGUGGGGUCACGCGGCGAUUCCACGUCAAUGGACACGGGAAUCAAUGUGGAAAAUGCUCACGGAAACUAUUAAUUUUAAAAUUUUAUUAAUUCCUGCUUUUACCUGAAUGAGAACCUGAAUUCAGACGGCGCUUUUGGCUAAAUGCUAACGACGCUUCGGCUAACAGGAAGUAUACUGAAAUAAAGGUAGAAAUACUACAGCCAAGAGAUACUCUGUUAGUUUUCCCUGUGCAGUUUAUAAUAACUUAUAUUGUAGUAUUAUUGAUGCUAACGUGAGCUAAUAUUGACUUAGCACGGCUGAGGUUUAUCGGCAGCUGAGCAGAUGUUACGAUAUUUCUUUAAAUGAAGUGGAACAACAUCUUAAAUUUAGUCUGCGUAUCAGGCAGAUCAAAGCUGGUGGCAGUUUGCAGUUUGCUUUAUUUGACUGACUGCUUGGAAUAACGUCUUGGAAGUUAAACUUAAUGGAACAUUUGUGCGGUCGGCUGUUUCAUUCUUUCUGCAGAGCCCUUCGCAUCCGAUUUGUCACGGGCCGCGCUUUGUGAAGAGGCAACGCCACUUAUUAAAAAAACAAAUAAAAAAAAACACCGACAGCGUCGAGUUCAUCCAGUACAACAAUUUACGUUCCACUCAAACAGCCUGUCGCGUUCCCACAGCUGAACGCCGGGACGGGACAAAGGGAAGAAGGGGGGAAAAAGUCCCGGGCAGCAGUUAGAAAAAAGGAGGGAGGGCGGCGGAGCGGGAGAGAGGGAGCGCUCCGGGGUCCGUCCUUCACUUCCACAUCUGGCCCUGAUAUUUCAGAGUUAAUUAGUCAUGCAGGGGUUGUGUGUAGAUAAAUCUAUCAUCCCGCCCUGCGCAAACCAUUUGAGAAAUGAAAGGAAGUGAGCAGAUACACGCAGUCCGAGCUCCUUCAUAAAUCACGGGCCCAGAUUAAAAACAGGCACUGCGGUGACGAGGGGGGAGGGAACAGGAAGGGGCGGAGCCUGGACCGUCCCGCACAAUAGCACACUGUCGUUCCGCCACAUGCGCUUACCGGAUGAUGUAUAAGUAUAUACAUCUAUAUAUAUUUCUGGAUGCUGGGUCUCCGACCUCAAAAUCUAUGGCGGCUUUGGUAAGAUGCUCAACAACGUGUUACAUUGUUGCAGUAAUAUAUAAACAAUAAGAAAACAGCCAAAAGCAUAUGGCACAGCAUGGAGAGUAUAUACAUACAUAUAUAUAGAUUUAACCCCCCGCGACCCCGGCGUUGUUGAAUGUUUACGCGGUGAAGAACAAACUCACUGGCAGGCGCGUUACUUGUGAGCGGACGGCGGACGGCGUCUCACUCAGCGGAGGAAGGCGGAGGUCACGAGGAAGAGGAAGAAGAAGAGGACUUUGGAGUGAGAAGAAAGGCCGCUCUGGGUGUGUGUGAGUGUGUUGGGAGAGCCGAGGGAGCAUCGCUGUGCUUACAGGAAUAAAAGCAAAUGGAUUAAAAGAUGUUUUUUGGUUCUUUAUGUGAACGAGAGAAGGAAUAAUAAUAAUAAUAAUAAGUGCUGCAGGAGGUCACUGCUAUUUAAAAAGAAGCUCCCUGCAGCUUUGAAUUGUUUUAAUUGGAUUUUCUCAAAAUGACACAGAUGCGUAAACUACAUGACAGUUGAGAGUCGAUGGGCUGAACUUUAAAUCACCUCCAGGUUUAAUUUAGGGUUUAGGAUUUAUGGAUUUAGAGGGUUUACGAUGGGGUGAGGGUGAAGGUUAUGAGAGGGACAAGGUCAGAGGUCAAGGCGGGGAAAGUGCUGAGUAUUAGCAGGAAUGUGUGUGUUCCAGGAGACGAUACGGUCUCCAAAGAGCUCGCAAACAUCGAGAAAUUUAAUAUAAAAAGGGCUUACAACUAAAUACGUAAGGAGGAACAGUCCGAUAGCUGCUGAGGGAUCAUAGAUAUGCACUUCAUACUUCAUACCACCAGAUUAAAGACAAUAUAUACAUGUAUAAAUAACAGCUGCAUCUACCUUCACCUCGUAAAAUCCUGCUUGCACAUUGAUGUCAGAGUGAUCUAAUAUUGUGUAAUUUAAUGACACAUAAUGUGUUUUAAAGAUCAUCGUUUUUUUUUAUCUCUGCUGCUUUGCAAAGUCCAGAUCGCGUCGCGUUUUUGUUCCAACGCGGCGUCCAGACUGGACAUGUGAGGCAGUCGAUAGCCAUCUGACCAGGAAACACUAAAUCACAGAAACCGCAGGGGGGCUACAGGCAGGGAGAAGGGGGGGGGGGGGGGGGGGGUGUAAAUCACACAUUACAAAGACCCUGCUGAAAGCUCAGGAACAUCGGUCCACCGUGACAUCGUUCCUCGCAGGCUGCCUUCAAAGCCGGCUCGGACAGGAAGCCCUCAUUCCCAGCUGAGAGGUGCAGCGGAAAAGUCCUGUUUGGAUGUGUUCGUCCUUCCCAAGGACGUGUGACUCCAUUGUGACGGCGCUCGGCGAGCUGAUGAAAAGAGAUCGCCGCGGCACAGGAACCGCAUUCGCGCCCGCGUGACCUCUGACCCGCACAAAGCUGUUGUCGUGGCGACAGCGAUGAUGGGUUUGUUGGUGUCAGGGUUGGUUUGGUUGCAAAGUAAAACAAAGGAAGACAAAGGAGUUUUUUCCAAACUAUCAACAGCUCUCUUGUCACCAGGGUGUGUUCUAGUUUGUGCGUGUGUUUGACCUUAUUGUGUAUUCACUUGGUAUUAAGGCAGCUGUAGUUCAUAUUUUAUAACCAUUUACAGGACCUUUCGUAUCUAAAAACUCUUUUAUCUUGUUAUCUAAUAAGACGAAGCGGCUCUACACACUGGUGCCUUGAGCUAAAUGCAAACACUCAGUUCUCACGCUCAAUAUUCGCUAAUUAUUUCUUAAGUUACUCUGUUUAUAACUUUGAUUUGACCCCAUGGGGUCGAUAAUCUGUUUUUUGCAACAACAACAACGCGUCAGAUUGCCAUGAAUUUGGGUCUGAAUCCCCGAGGAGGCUCUGUGAGACUGAUCAACAGCAGGAGGAGGACCAAAAUUACAGGUCAUAGUUAGUGAGGUGUUUAAGUUUAAGGGAAGUUUAAUCCACGUUAAAAAAGAGCUCGAGUCCUACAGGCUGAUUUUUUUUCUGGCAACGACCAGUCGAGUGUUGUCGAGGAGUCAGCCUCACCUGCUCCGCCUGUCACUCAGCGGUUGCCACAGCGAGUCGGCUGACACUUCGCCGACGCGGCGCUGCCAAAGUUCGCCCGCCGCGUCAAUCAUUCGCCUCUUCUUCCUCGGAGCGCCAAAGAAGUUGACGUCUCUGUAAGAUAUAAAAAAGCAAGCGUUGAUUUGUUUCAUUCAGGCUGUAAUUUCAGACCAGUGCAGAUUGCUGCGAAUACCUGGUGGUGGUGGGGAUGUUGGUGGAUGUGGUGUAGGUGGUGGUGAUGCUGGUGAUGCUGGUGGAUUUGGUGGAGGUGGUGGUGGUGGUGAUGCUGGUGGAGGUGAUGUUGGUGGAUUUGGUGGAGGUGGUGAUGGUGGUGGUGAUGUUGGUGGAUAUGGUGGAGGUGGUGGUGGUGAUGUUGGCGGAGGUGGUGGUGAUGCCGGUGAUGCUGGUGGAGGUGAUGUUGGUGGAUUUGGUGGUGGUGGUGAUGCUGGUGGAGGCGAUGGCGCUGGUGGUGAUGCUCAUUUGGGUGCGUUUGAUUUGCCACCUCUCCGGGAUGCAUUAAGUGAACAUGAACCCCAUUAGCCCCGGAUCACCGGACUUGUUAGCAGCAGCACCUUCUGCAAUAACUUACAGCGCUUUCCUCUGGACAGAACGUGCUCCUUGUAGAGCGUAAUGGAAGUAAUCCAUCCUCCCUGUCAGUGCUGGAAAACACUUUGUUUUCUGUACAAAUGGUGUUUGGGUGGAAGUCGCUGGUUGGGGGUGGAGGUGUUUGGGAGGGGCAGGACAUUCUUCUGCUGUGUAUGUCUCACAUGCGCAGGUUUUGAGGGCAGAGGGAGUGAACGCAGUGAAGUCUGUUCCAUAUAUUCACCACGGCAUUAAAGUACAGAUAGAGAAGGUUAAACAGGAUAUAUUAACAAUGGGUAUAUAAAACGGAAAUAAUAAUAAUAAAAUAUAAAAUAUACAUCUGCAUUUGGCGACGAUUAACAGAUAUGAAAGUAUCAUUAUAAAAUAUAAUUAUGUUGUAGGAAUCCCAAGAAACGUGUUGUAAAAGCGCUUAAAGACAACUUCACUUCCCCAACAUGAGUCGAGCUCUCAUUAUACUGGAUCCCAUAAUAACCCCGAGGGCAUCAUUACGUUUAUGAGGAAUUAUAAGAUCCCGGUUGACAUUUCAAUGUUUAAUACUUAAAGUUUACCAAACCACAUGAAAGAGGUCCUCACACUGCUGCUUCACACUCUGCUGGUGAACAACAGCAGCUUUGAUGCAAGUCGAGCAUCUGAUAACUCCUCUCACGGUAAAUACCCUUUUCUGCUGGUUGGGGCAGUUAACUCUAUUAAACAUCUGCUGAGUGUUAUGGCGGCUCGUACCGAUAUCAGUGAAUAUAUCCAUUUAGCUCAAGCAGUAACCGUAAUGGCGUUAAUGUCCAUAUCUGCUGGAGCUUUUCUUCAGUCUAUUUCCAAAGAUAUCGUUCAUUCCGACCGUAUUAAAGCUCUCAGUGUGGAGACCAGUUUGUACAGGAAAUGAUGAACUACCUCCUGGAAAUUAAAGCAAGGCCAAAUACCACAUUUCAGCCUGGAAUGUAAUUUAUAGUCAGUUAAACAACAUUUGCUUACAAGAAAAACACCUUUUGAUUCGUAGACUCUUUUGCCGUUGCUUUAAUUUUAAUUAUUUUGGGCUAACUUUGUUUGUAUUCCAACUUUCAAAUCAAAGCACAACCAAAAAAACAUAAAUUUUUCUUCCAUCCUUCUCCCACUUACCUCCUCCUCUUUCUCACAUCUACCUACUCUCCCCCCUCAUUCCUCCCAACUGCAUCUCCCUCAGCCCCCACAGGCCCCUCCAUAAAUCCUGGGACAGCAGCGCUUUAAUGGAUAAUUAAUUGAUGCCGCUGCAGCACUGUAAUAAGACAAUAAAUUACGACACAGGGCGGUGUGCUGUGUCAGUGUGUGUUGCUAAUGGCCCUUCAGGGCCGGGGCAGGAGGCUAAUAAAUUAGACAGGUAUUAACUGUUGUGUGCUAAGUAGCCCUCCACCGCAGAAUGCCAUGAGCGCCGAACGGGGAAGCAAGAACAAGACAAGGAUGAAUUUAAAGUGAAAUUAAAAACUGUUUUUGACAAGAAAUCUGUACAUUUCCAAUUGUGUGAUUUUGUUAAAAGUUUUCAUUAUUUUUCUGAAGCAGUGGAGCCACAAAUUUGUAAUUCGUCAUUUGGUUCGGUUGGUAUCGAGCACUAAAACCAAUCCGUCACUUCAGGUGCAACGACCUCACACGUAGGAGCUAAAUGCUAACGCCAGCAUGCUAACACGCUCAUAAAUGACCAUGGGUCAACUUUAGCGGUAUUUUAGCGCGCUUGAUGUUCACCACUUUGACCGCGCGGGUUUAGCUUGCUAGCAUGUUAGCAUUGGCUAAUCAGCGCCAAACGCAAAAAUUGGUUUCACAGGUAUUCGAGUUACAAACAGGACAUUUUGACCUGACCAUUGCGAUGCAAACUUAAUACAAUAAUUCUUCAAUAUGGCAACAUAAAUAAAAAAGAACGCUUCAGCAGUUUAGACCAUCGACCUCUAGAUCGGUUGGAUAAAACGCCGCGGCCUCGCCGGUGUGAAGCUCUCACCGCGCUGAGCGUAAAGGAUCGUGCCGCUUUCCCAAAGAGGGAAAUCCCAGCUUAGCAAACGAGGCCAACGCCUCCCGCUCGGGAAACGUGGAAUUUUCGGCAGAUAGCCUCUAAUCCCAUUUUAAUGGUUGUCUGAUUAAGAGGUGAGAAGGAUUAGGGCGCGACUGUGUUGCGCGGUAAACAUUCACCACGUACGCGCCGGCUUGCGAGGCGCCGGUGGAAAAUUACUUAUACGGGAGAAACAAAGAGAAAGGGACAAAUCUCAGGGAUUAGGAGUGAGCAUGAAGAGGAAGAGAAACGACGGCUCAGUUCUGUCGUUCCAAUUAAAAAUGCUGCAAAUCUCUCAUCUCCUAAUGUUGGCCCUAACGAGCGUGACUCGCUGGCAGUUAUGCAGAUAAAAACUCCUCCUGAUUGAUUCCACCCGCACGUCCAAAUUAGUUUCACUCCAGCUUAUUGAUCACAACCCGCCGGUUGCAAACCGUUGAUUAAUAACGAUAAUAAAAGUGCAAUAGAUUGUUGGAAUCAACCACACGAGGCUGAACAACGUGAGAGUUUUCCCAGCUCGCAUCUGAAAACGUGUAAAUAUUGAUCUUGUAGUCUCUAUUAAAUCUUUCACUUCCGGUUCCCCUCAAAGUCGCAGGUGUUUUUGAGUCUGAAGAUGUCUGAAAGGUGGCUGCUUGAGGCAAGCGUAAGAGAUUUUAAAGUUUUAUUCUAAACGAUGGAAGCUUCAGUAAAUCAAACGUUCAAGGAUCAUACGAGUUCGUUUGAGGGAAACAGGGAGACGCUGACGAAAAUACUUCAUCACUGCAGCACUCGAUUGUGUGAACUAAUUCAGCAGAUAAAUGUCCUCCCACACACACACACACACACACACACACACACACACACACACUACAUAAUAAUAAUAAUAUCAAUAAUAACGCAUUCGCAGUUUUCUGCCCACAAUCAUUCCCCCGAUUGACGUGUUCAUCCGUUAAUCUCAUUACAUGUGUGUGAUUGUUUUUUUAUUGACACACGCGGUUCUCUGUCCGUCCUCUGAAUGGUGCGUUCAUGAAUCGAAAUGAGUUUAUAUCUGUUGUGAGCUAAAAGACUAAAGAGCAGGUGAAGGUGCGUUAAAAAAACGUUUUCCUUACUUUGUCUUUUGUCCCUUUUAUGUUGUUGCCCCACCCCCCUUAACUCUCCCCCCUUAGCCUCCACCUCGCUCCACGCUGGCACAUCCAACCUUCCCUUGAAUGCCACUGGGGGUGGGGGGACGUGGGGGGGACGUGGGAGGUGGGGGGCAAGUGACGGUGCAUGAUGACAGAGCCGUGUGACGGGGUCACAGCCACAGCCUCGCCUCUGCAGAGGAGCGCUUAAUACAUCAUCCCCCGGACAACGGGUGACACCCCCCCCCCCCGGAAGACGGAGUGCCCGGUGCCGAGCUCUCGCAGCCCUGAGACAUUCCUCCUUAUUUUAUUUAUUUUUGCGUCAGGCCGUCUAAUAAAGCGGGGGCGGGAUGGAGGGACGGCGUAUCGGAGCCGAGGGAGGAUGAAGCAUCUCGCACUGAUGUAAUAUGGCUUAUAAAUCUAAUUUAAUUACCCAGCGUGGGGACAGGCCGGAGAAGCCAUGACUGGAUUUAUUGUGUCUUAACUUGGCAUCUUAACGACUUUGUGCUUUUAAUAUCAUUACCCUGUAAUUUAUUCUCUUUCGUGCACACACACACACACACACACACACACACACACAGUGCAGUGAUAAUCUUUUUAAGCAGGCAGCUUUACGGAUCGUAGGACUCCAGAGCUGUGACAGCUAUUGAUCCAUAAACUCCCGCUUUGACUCGUCCCACGCCGUCCCCCCCAGCCAUCAAGGUGAAGUCGCCGCGGCGGGCUCCUUUUAACGCUUACAGCUACAUUUCCCCACCGAUGUGGAAUCAACCAGCUUAUUGCGAAGAGGGCGAGUUAAAGUGCAAAAAAAAAGGGUUGAUUGACACUUCAGACCAUUUUUAACCGCUUGCAAUUGUCACUAAAUUUCUUUUUAAAGUGUCCGUGAAACUUUGCAUAUCAAGUCUGUGUACGACAGGAGCACCAGGGGGGUCCGAUUUUGUCGGAGGUUAUUACUCUCGGUGAGUGCAGAGCGGCAUCUGAAUCUCCUUCAUGGCAUCAGAAUCUCACUUUUGCCAAAGACACAGAGGACCCAUUCAGGAUUUGUGCAAACAAGUGCCGCAAGGUUGGCGCCGCCGUCUUGAUGCUGCGCCCGAGAACGAUCUUGGACGUUGAGGAUGCAGCGAGACGCCAUGGGGAGGAGGCCGGGGGGACUUUUCUUUAAUCCUAAUGACACCUUCACCCCUACCUUAAAAGUGGAAAAAUGGACAGAAUAAAGAAACAGAAAACGAGGGAUGCGAGGAUGAAGGCGGCAUCGCUCAUUCACACGCCUCCCACCACGUAGAGCAAAUAGUUUCCACAGGCCCGCUGUCCCACAUUAGCUUAGCUCGCUAUUCAGCUGAGCCACCGACUUGCAAUCCACCACUGCCUCAUCGACAGCGACAUAUUUGCUUUGCAGCUCUGUGCAAUCCGACGUCUGCCACCGCGCUCAACGCUUGAUUAAUGCCUCUCUUCUCGAGCCCCUCAAUUGGCUCCGACAGCCAAAGCGUCCCUCUCGCCCAGGCAAGGUGUCCAAAAGUUUAGAUAAACUGCACUCUCCAAAGGCGUCAAACAACCAGUCCGUCAUCCAAACCGAGCAACCGUAACGGGGCGAGCAAAAGAAUGUGCGUUAACAAUCCCAAGGGUGAGGUCAAAAAAAAAAGGAAAAAAAACAACGUGUGGGAAUGCAUAAAACAGACGAUGCGAUGUGAGCCGCAGUUGUUAGCAUAUGGGGCUAACAGGCUAACAGUAGUAACAGAGGAACUCCCUCUUGUCAGAGUUUAAGCUAAUAUUCAAAACAGCAAUAAAGUGCUCGUUUCAGACUCCGUUUGUUAUUCUAAAAUCAUUCCACAUGAAGCAUUAGGAGGUCAGCCGGAGUAACUUGUAGCUAACAUUAGCUCAAUUAGCCUGUUAGCAUGUUAGCUCUGGCUUAUAACACCCUUCAGCAACAGCUGUUCCUUCUCCUCCUCUCCAUCGUCUGGAAUCAUCACGGCUUCUGCGUUACGCUUAAAUCCUGCAGGCUGGAGGAAGAGGAGGAAACUGGGGAGGUGAAAUCUUGCGUCUAAUGAGAGUUGACCUCUCUGCCCCACAUGCGGUCGAAGGGGGGAAACACAAACCCACGUUAAAGGGAGACAAACGAGGAGCAGGACGGGGGAGAUUGAAAAGCAGAACAUGCUCGAUUAUUCUGCGCUUCAAGUCUUUCUGUGGUGUGGAUUAAUUCCUUCUCCACAUCAAACGCUCACAUAUUUCCGUGAGAACAUUUGUAGGAAUAAAAAGGCCAAAGAUGGAUCACAUGCGGUACAAUUUACGAGGCUCUAUCUUAAGACCCUGAAGCCGAAACAGGAUUUAUGCACAAUAACGUUCUUCGGUCUCUUGAGAUGCUGCUUGUUUUGUUCUUAAUUACAGAGAAAACUUCUAAAACUUUUCUAACCUCAAGCUCACAGUUGUUGUGGUUGUUUAGUGUUUUUUUUUACACUUUAUUGCCAUCACGCACAUACAUGUGACGCUUACACGAACACGCAGGGCACAAAGCCCUCCGCUGUUUGGCAGCUAAGGAGUCACAUUCGCUCUCUGGACAUCUGACCCGACUCACGCGAGCGUUUUACAUCCCGCGUUACACAACGACGAGCGAGAGACUUUUACGGCGUCACAACAGCGGCUGCUGUCCGAGCUCGAGCUACACACUCGCGCACAAAGCCAAGCGCACACGUGGGUGCAUUAAGUAGCAAGCGGGUGGACAAACAUCGCUCAAACAUCUGCAGCAAAUGAGCCAUAAUGGGUUUAAUUUAACAAGCUUUGCACAGACGUUUCAGUUGUGACUUUAUGUAAAUCCACUAGCAGGUGUUACUGUAAUAAAUGACUUUUCCUCAAUGUUGUUUCCUUCAAGAGGCUUUGAGAUGAAAGAUUUUCAUUCUACCUGUUUGGAAGAGAGGAAGUACCGUUCUACCAUUAUAUAUAUAUAUAUACAUAUAUAUAAUGGUAUAUAUAGAACAUCCCCCUGUGCAAACAUGAGGGCGGCCACUCCCCGACCGGCCCCGGCGGCCGUGGUCAGCGUGUGGCCCGCUGUCAAAACACGGCGUGCACGGCGGCGCCGAGGUCACGGCCGGACGAAGAGGAACUGGCCCUGCUCUCCCCCCCACACUGGGCGGGGGAGGAGGGGAGGAGGGUGAGGGGAGUGGGGGGGGUUGUGACUGACGGAAGCCGCAGGGGGAGCGUGUGGAUCGGUCACAGGGCGCCCGGCCUUGGACGGAGGAGGAAGAGCAACCGCCGCCAGACCAGUUUUUACUGGACGGGGAAAAGGAAAAUCCAAAAGGUUACCGGAAUAUUUGCUCCUCCACUGUGACGUGUGGCCGAAGCGAAUGAAGUAAAGGCAUGUAGAGAUACACAGAAAGACGACGACGGGGCCAAACGUCGACAUUAUUAAAGUAACUAAUAGGAAAAGCAGCACUUCCUCACUCUUCAGACGCUGGAAACAUUCAGUGUUUCCGCACGAAAAAACACCUAAUGGACCAUUAACGUAGUUGCCAAUUAAUUUUCUGGCAAUUGACCAAUCAAUGAAUCAACUAAUCCUUCACGCUGUAGUCGCACAAACUGCUGUGUAGUUUGAUUAUCUUUUUGUGUUCAAAUUGGUAAACCUUCCUCUUUAAAGUAAAGCUAAAACGUAUUUCCGUCCGAGGAGAUGAGUGAUGUAAAUGUAAGAUACAAGUAUCUUAAACGAGUACCUACAUUACGCAGUACAGAGUAGUUGUACUUAGAUACUUUCCACCACUGAACAAAAGGAAAAACAUCCCCAGAUGGUCUGAAUGAAAAAAAAACCAAAUGUAGACCUUUUUAAAAUAAGCUGUAGGAGAGAUGUGUGUUUUCUGUUCACAUGUGGGUUUCUGUGCAUGUGUGUGUGUGUGUGCGCGUGUGUGUGUGUGUGUGCGUGUGUGUGUGUGUGUGUGUGUGUGCUGAAAGUGAUUUAUGGGGCCUGUCUUCCUCUGCCAGCAGUUUGUCUCUUCUAGCAUGGAGGAUGAAUGGCCUACUGUCAGGCCUGCCUCACCCUCUCCUAC